GAUGAACGCUGGCGGCGUGCUUAACACAUGCAAGUCGAACGGAGUGCUCAUGAUGGAGGAUUCGUCCAACGGAUUGAGUUACUUAGUGGCGGACGGGUGAGUAACGCGUGAGGAACCUGCCUUGGAGUGGGGAAUAACAGCCCGAAAUCGCUGCUAAUACCGCAUACCUUGACUUUUAUUGCAUGAUGAAGUUAAGAAAGGAGCAAUCCGCUUUUAGAUGGGCUUGCGUCUGAUUAGCUAGUUGGUGGGGUAACGGCCUACCAAGGCAACGAUCAGUAGCCGGACUGAGAGGUUGAACGGCCACAUUGGGACUGAGACACGGCCCAG
rnacentral:rRNA from 1 species